CAUGCCUUACACAUGCAAGUCGAACGGCAGCACGGGAGCAAUCCUGGGUGGCGAGUGGCGAACGGGUGAGUAAUAUAUCGGAACGUGCCCAGUCGUGGGGGAUAACGUAGCGAAAGCUACGCUAAUACCGCAUACGAUCUAUGGAUGAAAGCGGGGGAUCGCAAGACCUCGCGCGAUUGGGAGCGGCCGAUAUCAGAUUAGGUAGUUGGUGAGGUAAAGGCUCACCAAGCCGACGAUCUGUAGCUGGUCUGAGAGGACGACCAGCCACACUGGGACUGAGACACGGCCCAGACUCCUACGGGAGGCAGCAGUGGGGAAUUUUGGACAAUGGGCGCAAGCCUGAUCCAGCAAUGCCGCGUGCAGGAUGAAGGCCUUCGGGUUGUAAACUGCUUUUGUACGGAACGAAACGGUGAGCUCUAAUACAGUUUGCUAAUGACGGUACCGUAAGAAUAAGCACCGGCUAACUACGUG
rnacentral:rRNA from 1 species